CCUAUAUGUUUUAGUAAGGUUUGUAUCACAACUAAAGCCUAGCCCAUAAGCCUAUAUGUUUUAGUAAGGUUUGUAUCACAACUAAAGCCUAGCCCAUAAGCCUAUAUGUUUUAGUAAGGUUUGUAUCACAACUAAAGCCUAGCCCAUAAGCCUAUAUGUUUUAGUAAGGUUUGUAUCACAACUAAAGCCUAGCCCAUAAGCCUAUAUGUUUUAGUAAGGUUUGUAUCACAACUAAAGCCUAGCCCAUAAGCCUAUAUGUUUUAGUAAGGUUUGUAUCACAACUAAAGCCUAGCCCAUAAGCCUAUAUGUUUUAGUAAGGUUUGUAUCACAACUAAAGCCUAGCCCAUAAGCCUAUAUGUUUUAGUAAG